rnacentral:rRNA from 1 species
CCUACGGGAGGCAGCAGUGGGGGAUAUUGCACAAUGGGGGAAACCCUGAUGCAGCGACGCCGCGUGGGUGAAGAAGCGCCUCGGCGCGUAAAGCCCUGUCAGCAGGGAAGAAAAUGACGGUACCUGAAGUAGAAGCCCCGGCCAACUACGUGCCCGCAGCCGCGGGAAUACGUAGGGGGCAAGCGUUAUCCGGAGUUACUGGGUGUAAAGGGGGCGCAGACGGCGAUGCAAGCCAGGAGUGAAAGCCCGGGGCCCAACCCCGGGACUGCUCUUGGAACUGCGUGGAUAGAGUGCAGGAGGGGCAGGCGGAAUUCCUGGUGUAGCGGUGAAAUGCGUAGAUAUCAGGAGGAACACCGGUGGCGAAGGCGGCCUGCUGGACUGCAACUGACGUUGAGGCCCGAAAGCGUGGGGAGCAAACAGGAUUAGAUACCCCUGUAGUC